rnacentral:rRNA from 1 species
GCUUGUCUCAAAGAUUAAGCCAUGCAUGUUCAAGUAUAGCAAGUGUACAGUGAAACUGCGAAUGGCUCAUUAAAUCAGUUAUAAUUUAUUUGAUAGUGAAAUUGUACAUGGAUAACCGUGGUAAUUCUAGAGCUAAUACAUGCUGGUGUGCCUGACUUUUCGGAAGGGCGGUAUUUAUUAGAUAACGAACCAAUAUUCCUCUGGUCUAUUGUGGUGAAUCAUAAUAACUGAUCGAAUCGCAAAGCCUUUGGCUGCGAUAUGUCAUUCAAGUUUCUGCCCCAUCAGCUUUCGAUGGUAGUGUAUUGGACUACCAUGGCUUUUACGGGUAACGGAGAAUUAGGGUUCGAUUCCGGAGAGGGAGCCUGAGAAACGGCUACCACAUCCAAGGAAGGCAGCAGG